rnacentral:misc_RNA from 1 species
GAUGAAGAACGCAGCGAAAUGCGAUACUUGGUGUGAAUUGCAGAAUCCCGUGAACCAUCGAGUCUUUGAACGCAAGUUGCGCCCGAAGCCAUUAGGCCGAGGGCACGCCUGCCUGGGCGUCACACGCCGUUGCCCCCCCAUCUACUCCUUCGGGAUUGCGGGGGGCGGAUGAUGGCUUCCCGUGCGCCUCGUCGCGCGGUUGGCAUAAAUGCCAAGUCCUCGGCGACGCACGCCACGACAAUCGGUGGUUGCGAAACCUCGGUUGCCCGUCGUGUGCGGUCGUCGCGCAUCGAGGGCUCGAAAAAAUUGCCGGGCUCCGGCUCGGCUUUCAACGCGACCCCAGGUCAGGCGGGGUUACCCGCUGAAUUUAAGCAUAUCAAUAAGCGGAGGA